ACGUUUUUAUUUUUUAGUGAAAUGAAUUAUGCGCCGGAUCACGAUGGACUUCCGCGUGAGAAAAUGUGUUGCCUCUAAACCUAUGCUUUGAGGGGAAGAUAAUUCGCCCAAAAUGUUGAAGAUUCUCAACAAGGAUAACAACGACGUAUAAGAAGACCCAAAGGUUCCCAAAGGCUUUGGUUUUGCUCCACCGCAGUCCGCCCUGAGAGGCUGCCGUAUCGGUUUGGAGAGCAACAGGUGGUUAUCCUUGUAAUGAUCUUGAUGCAUGUCCAAGGAUGAGAGGAUGAUGGAGAUGGAGGUUGCUCUGCUAUAACCCUGGAUGAGAGGAUGAUGGAGAUGGAGGUUGCUCUGCUAUAACCUUGGAUGAGAGGAUGAUGGAGAUGGAGGUUGAUCUGCUAUAACCCUGGAUGAAAGGAUGAUGGAGAUGGAGGUUGCUCUG
rnacentral:lncRNA from 1 species